UCUGUUUUCUUUCUCUCUCUUUAAGUCCUACUCCCCCUCUCAUAUUUCUGUUUUCUGUUCUCUCUCUCUCUCUCUCUCGCUCCCCUUCCUCCUUCUCCAGCACUUCGUCCUAUACCUUCCAAAUUGUUGUUGUUGUUUGUUUUUUUUCUAUCGGUGGGGGUAACUCCAUGGACGUGGAGGCGGACGACGAAGACGACGUCGAUUGAUGCUUGGUGAUGCUGCCUGGCUUGGCUGGUGGUGCCGACCCAACAACAACAACAAACAACAACAACAACAACAACAACAACAGCACACACAUGCACCGCACACAUCACAACAGAUCCUAUACACACACACACAUACAUAACAUAACUAAGUCAAACUGACAGACAAAACACACAACACAACAAACACCAGUACACUUAUUCUAAACUACCCUAAUUAAAAAACAGUGCACUAUUCAUUUUAUAAUUAGUCUCGUAUAUCAUAUAUAUACACACAUAUAUAUAUAUACACACAACAUGCCGUCUUCCACGGCCGUCCUAUUAACUGCCCUAUUGAUUAUGGCUUCUGAAUGGCUUUACCUUGUGGAUUCCCACCUUAGUCUGUAUAUGGAUUCAGAGGAGACUUACAAACUGCUGGGUAAGACGGCAGAAUUGUCUUAUUUCCACUGCAUGGCACCUUGAACAA